UAGGGAAUCUUCGGCAAUGGGGGGAACCCUGACCGAGCAACGCCGCGUGAGUGAAGAAGGUUUUCGGAACGUAAAGCUCUGUUGUUAAGGAAGAACGAGUGUGAGAAUGGAAAGUUCAUGCUGUGACGGUACUUAACCAGAAAGGGACGGCUAACUACGUGCCAGCAGCCGCGGUAAUACGUAGGUCCCGAGCGUUGUCCGGAUUUAUUGGGCGUAAAGCGAGCGCAGGCGGUUAGAAAAGUCUGAAGUGAAAGGCAGUGGCUCAACCAUUGUAGGCUUUGGAAACUGUUUAACUUGAGUGCAGAAGGGGAGAGUGGAAUUCCAUGUGUAGCGGUGAAAUGCGUAGAUAUAUGGAGGAACACCAGUGGCGAAGGCGACUCUCUGGUCUGUAACUGACGCUGAGGCUCGAAAGCGUGGGUAGCAAACAGG
rnacentral:rRNA from 1 species